rnacentral:miRNA from 1 species
CUGGGGCAGAGGCUGAGAGUCUGCAUUUUUAGCAAGUUUUCAGCUGAUGCU